UACGUAGGUGGCAAGCGUUGUCCGGAAUUAUUGGGCGUAAAGGGCGCGCAGGCGGCCUGUCAAGUCUGUCUUAAAAGUGCGGGGCUCAACCCCGUGAUGGGACGGAAACUGGCAGGCUGGAGUGUCGGAGAGGAAAGCAGAAUUCCUAGUGUAGCGGUGAAAUGCGUAGAUAUUAGGAGGAAUACCAGUGGCGAAAGCGGCUUUCUGGACGACAACUAACGCUGAGGCGACGAAAGCCGAGGGGAGACGAA
rnacentral:rRNA from 1 species